AUGUGUGAAAUGUUUGCUGACAAACGUUUUUCGUUUUCAUGAGCUGAAUUCAGGACACGUUGGUCCAGGGAGCAGUUCAGAAUGUGAAACGGAUAACCAGGAACAUUUUCAUCGUUGUCAAGAGGUCACAGUGUAAAAGAUGGACUAAUAUAUAGAGUGUCAGAUCUUCAGUCACACUGGCUGUCCUUCACAUUCACACUGAGCGGAGAUGUCGCAAUCUAUCAAUGUUGAAGUCUUGAAGAUUCUCCAGCAAUCUGCUUUGACUAUUCAAUCAACGUCAUGAUUACAGAUCAUGUAAUUCAGACAUAGAGUGUCAGAUCGAUCGUAGUUCAUAGUGGCUGAUCAUUAAACAGUCAGCGGAGAUAUAAGCACAUCUGUGAAGGAUGAAGCAUUUGGACAGCUUUACCCAACUUCAAAGGGUAAAAUACCAAAGUUAUAAUUCUUUAUCCCUGAUGCAGAUGCUAGUCAAUAGUCCAUACACUGUAUGCAUGAUGUAGGAGAAGAAACACCUUCAUGUUCAUUGCAAGUUUCACAGAAAUAGUAUUUUCUAUCUCUUAAAAAACCUGUUUGGUGUGCACUUGCAUUUUGUUUCCAUCACAAAUUAUAUAGCAUUUUAUGUUGAACCCAAAGUUCCUAAAAAAGAAUUUGAUGUUUGAGAAUGGCAUUGAUGGUCUGUUGACAUUUAAGACCACUUGUUAAGACAAUCUUUUUUCUUCAUUUAUUCUUUUAUCUACACGGUUCCUCAUUCGAUGUUGGCAACAAUCUACCCUGGCUAGUCAAUCAACUUUGAAGAUCAACUAAUCGAGACAGAGAGUGUCGGAUCUCCGUUCGUGUUCCAGCCCAUCACCAGUGGACAUGCCUUUUUAUCAGCAGUAGUUUAGUGUUUGUAGCUUUGAAUUUAUAACUACUUGUAUCUGGGAUGGAUCUAAAGGUUUAGUCUAAUAUCACCAAGAUAAUGAAGGCUUUUCUUGAAAGAGCAUCAGUGUCUGCAAGAUUGAAAUGUGCACAUCCUGAGUGUGGUAAAUCAUUCAUACUUUCCUUGUGUGGUGAUCUACCUAUAUUUACCCAUGG